AGAGUUUGAUCAUGGCUCAGGACGAACGCUGGCGGCGUGCCUAACACAUGCAAGUCGAACGGGGCUAUUUGAGAGCUUGCUUUCGGAUAGCUCAGUGGCGGACGGGUGAGUAACGCGUGAGGAACCUGCCUAUCAGAGGGGGAUAACGUCUGGAAACGGACGAUAAUACCGCAUAACAUUCCGAGGCCGCAUGGUUUUGGAAUCAAAGGAGCAAUCCGCUGAGAGAUGGACUCGCGUCCGAUUAGCCAGUUGGCGGGGCAAUGGCCCACCAAAGCAGCGAUCGGUAGCCGGGCUGAGAGGCUGAACGGCCACAUUGGGACUGAGACACGGCCCAGACUCCUACGGGAGGCAGCAGUGGGGGAUAUUGCACAAUGGAGGAAACUCUGAUGCAGCGACGCCGCGUGAGGGAAGACGGUUUUCGGAUUGUAAACCUCUGUCUUCAGGGACGAUAAUGACGGUACCUGAGGAGGAAGCUCCGGCUAACUACGUGCCAGCAGCCGCGGUAAUACGUAGGGAGCAAGCGUUGUCCGGAAUUACUGGGUGUAAAGGGUGCGUAGGCGGCUUAGCAAGUCAGGCGUGAAAGGCGGAGGCUUAACCUCCGAGCUGCGUUUGAAACUGUGAGGCUUGAGUGGAGCAGAGGCAGGCGGAAUUCCCGGUGUAGCGGUGAAAUGCGUAGAGAUCGGGAGGAACACCAGUGGCGAAGGCGGCCUGCUGGGCUUUAACUGACGCUGAGGCACGAAAGCAUGGGUAGCAAACAGGAUUAGAUACCCUAGUAGUCC
rnacentral:rRNA from 1 species